rnacentral:lncRNA from 12 species
UUGAGAUUCCCACCUGACGUGGCAUCUCUGUUGUCUCCUUUUUGGGUGUCCCAGGAACCGUGUUUUGCACGUAUUGGCGCAAAGCUGACCUGAAUGUAUGGGAAUUCUACUCUGACACCCUGCUGUGGAUUUCCCGUCUCGUCCCACUGCGUCUGCAUUAGCCGUGCCUUCCACCAGACGAGAGAGAUGAUUGGGACUGCGAAGACCGACUUUCUAUUCAUUUUCCCUCCUGACCUCUAAUGAAAGGAAUGGAAUUCUUUGUGCUUUCACAAGUAGAACCUAAGAGCCUCUUGGAUAAUCUCCGCAAGGAAACAAAUUGAGGAGUGCCUGGGUGGCCCAGUGGGUGAAGCAUCUGCCUUCAGCUCAGAUCAUGAUCCCAGGGUCCUGGGAUUGAGCCCCAAAGUCAUGGUCUGGUUCCCAGCUCAGUGGGGAGUCUGCUUCUCCCUCUGCCUCUCCCCUUGCUCAAGUUUGUGCUCACUUUCUCUGAAAUAAAUACAUAAAAUAAAUAGAUAAAAAAUACA